AGUUGAAGGACUUGUGUCCUUUACCAAAUAGGGGUGCAUACAGUUUUCCAGGGGUUGAUUUGUGACAUCUCAAGGCCACCGUAUAAACCCAUUUUAGUUCAUUUUUGCAACAAAAUGAAAGAAGCAGCAAAUUCAAGAGAGACUUGAGAGAAUGCCGAGAAGGAGAAAUAAGAGAGGGAGUGGAAGUUUAGUGAAUUUUUUGGUGAUUUCGGUGGGAUAAAGGUGAAGGAGGGAAGGAACCGGAGCCUUAAUUUGAUCAAGGGAAGGAGAAGGUUUUGUGGAUUGGAGACCACCUUUUGUAGUAUUCGUCUCCCUCCAGACAUUAGCUAGCAUUUUAUAUUUAUCCUUAUGCACGUAUUGAGAUGAUUCAUUCUAUCGAACGAUUACGAUAUCUUACCGAGAUAGGAUGAGCACCAACAAGCUCCAGGCGGGAUUACACCAAGCGAGUAUUGGCCGCUAUGAUAUUUUAGAUGCCUCGAGGGUGAACUGUGGGCGGGAUUUGUUUAAUACUGUAUCAUGACACCCCGAUGAUAGACUGUGGGUUGAGUAUGAUUAUCCAAUGGUAAUUAUACCAUCCCGAGGUAGACUGUGGUUGGUACCACCUUGAGGAUAGACUGUGAGUGGUGUAGCUACUUGUCUGUAUUUGGGACUGACACGUGAGAGGUAUGACUUAGGUCCUUGCGUACCGAUAGUGAUUGUCUUUGGUUUAUACAAUCUUGGUAUGUGGUUCCAUUGCAACCGGAAAUAUCAUAUGGUGAUUAUUAAUUAUCAUAUUAGGGUUAUGAUGUUAUAUGGCAUGCAAACGGAUUUUCACAUGCAUGUUUUCAAAGUUAAAACAUUUGUGUCAUGUGGCCUUUCGACAUUUUUCUAUGGACAGAAGAGUUGGAUCUGCCAGAAUCCGUCGAUGUUCUUCAUCAUUUUUGUGGCACACUUAACAAUAAGUAACCAUCAGUAUAUGUAUAUGUUAAAAUUUAUUUAAUAGUUUAAGUUUUUGGGUCAAGUUGUUUCUUAACACAAGUCAAAUCUCAUGUAUGCGGCAUCUUGUUAUCUAUCUUGGUUGUAUAAUUGUUUAGUUCUGUGAGCUAACCAAUAUUUUAUUUCUAAUUUAACUAAAAGGACCCUAACAUCAGUGCUACAAUUGAAAAUUUUC